GAUGAACGCUGGCGGCGCGCCUAACACAUGCAAGUCGAACGAUUAAAGCACCUUCGGGUGUGUAUAAAGUGGCGAACGGCUGAGUAACACGUGGGCAACCUGCCCCUUUCAUUGGGAUAGCCACGGGAAACCGUGGAUAAUACCGAAUACUUCGAGACUUCCGCAUGGAAGACUCGAGAAAGCUCCGGCGGAGAGGGAUGGGCCCGCGGCCUGUUAGCUUGUUGGUGGGGUAACGGCCUACCAAGGCAAUGAUGGGUAGCUGGGUUGAGAGACCGACCAGCCCGGUUGGGACCGGAGACCCGCCCCGGCCCCUACCGGAGGCAGCAGUGGGGAAUCUUGCACAAUGGGCGAAAGCCUGAUGCAGCGACGCCGCGUGCGGGAUGAAGGCCUUCGGGUUGUAAACCGCUUUCAGCAGGGACGAGGCGAAAGUGACGGUACCUGCAGAAGAAGCCCCGGCUAACUACGUG
rnacentral:rRNA from 1 species